UACAGAGGUCUCAAGCGUUGUUCGGAUUCAUUGGGCGUAAAGGGUGCGUAGGCGGCGAGGCAAGUCGGAUGUGAAAUCCCGGGGCUCAACUCCGGAACUGCAUUCGAUACUGCUUUGCUAGAGUACUGGAGAGGAGACUGGAAUUUACGGUGUAGCAGUGAGAUGCGUAGAUAUCGUAAGGAAGACCAGUGGCGAAGGCGAGUCUCUGGACAGUUACUGACGCUGAGGCACGAAGGCCAGGGGAGCAAACGGG
rnacentral:rRNA from 1 species